GAUGAACGCUGGCGGCGUGCCUAAUACAUGCAAGUCGAGCGAACAGACGAGGAGCUUGCUCCUCUGACGUUAGCGGCGGACGGGUGAGUAACACGUGGAUAACCUACCUAUAAGACUGGGAUAACUUCGGGAAACCGGAGCUAAUACCGGAUAAUAUAUUGAACCGCAUGGUUCAAUAGUGAAAGACGGUUUUGCUGUCACUUAUAGAUGGAUCCGCGCCGCAUUAGCUAGUUGGUAAGGUAACGGCUUACCAAGGCAACGAUGCGUAGCCGACCUGAGAGGGUGAUCGGCCACACUGGAACUGGGACACGGUCCAGAGUACUACGGGAGGCAGCAGUAGGGAAUCUUCCGCAAUGGGCGAAAGCAUGACGGAGCAACGCCGCGUGAGAGAUGAAGGUCUUCGGAUCGUAAAACUCUGUUAUUAGGGAAGAACAAAUGUGUAAGUAACUAUGCACGUCUUGACGGUACCUAAUCAGAAAGCCACGGCUAACUACGUG
rnacentral:rRNA from 1 species